rnacentral:lncRNA from 1 species
UGGUACUGUCCGAAGUUGACGGCGGCGUGGUGCCCUGACGUGACCCACAUGAUGAUGGUAAGGAUCUGCACGAGGUUGUCCCGGGAGUCGCACACCGGCCACCACGGCUCGUCCUUCUUGUCGGCGUGUCCCUUGGUGCGCACCUCCUCCCACCAAGCCUGCACCUCCUUGUCUCCGGUGACAUCCUCGUCAGAUUUGUAGUAGAACUUGACGUAGUCAGACACCCACUGCUUGAUGGAGUUCCAGAUGAGGAGCCCGUCGUUGGCGUAGGGGUAGUCCUUGAUGGUGAGCUCGAGCUCCCCGUCGUCCCCACGCACAGCAAGGCCCCGUGUGACGAGGUCCUCCGGUAGCGCCUCCGUGUCAAAUCGCCAUGUCGCAGCAUACGCCACGGAACUGAGCUCGAUGGAGUACUUCCCAGGCCAGAAUGCCUCCUCGAUGAUGCCGUCAGCGUUGAUGAGGCUCUCCCUGGCCAGCGCGUUGAUCUCCAUGGUGUAUCGGAAGUGCGGGUGCAGGAGGCGGUACACCGGGUGCAUCCGGCUGAGCUGCCUGUUGGCGGCGAUGAUGUAUGGCUCCACGGAAGCGUGUGUGCGCAGCCAGUGGCUGACCAACUGGUGGUAGCCGGUGUCGUGGGUGAGCACAUGUGCCUUGGCUAUCUUCCAGAGCCACGACUCGGUGGCAUCGGGGCCGUGCGUGAAGGCACGCUUCCACUGCGGUUUGGUCGGGGAC